GUAGCCCGACGGUACAAUGGGUCGCCAACCCGCAAGGGGGAGCCAAUCCCAUCAAAACGGGGCAUGGUUCGGAUUGCAGGCUGCAAUUCGCCUGCAUGAAGCCGGAAUCGCUAGUAAUCGCGGGUCAGCCACACCGCGGUGAAUACGUACUCGGGGCUU
rnacentral:rRNA from 1 species